rnacentral:rRNA from 1 species
UACGAAGGUGGCAAGCGUUGUUCGGAUUUACUGGGCGUACAGGGAGCGUAGGCGGUUGGAUAAGCCCUCCGUGAAAUCUCCAGGCUUAACCUGGAAAGUGCAGAGGGGACUGUUCAGCUAGAGGAUGGGAGAGGAGCGCGGAAUUCCCGGUGUAGCGGUGAAAUGCGUAGAGAUCGGGAGGAUCUCCGCUGGCGAACUCUGCGCUCUGGAACAUUUCUGACGCUGAGGCUCUCGAUCUUGGGGAGCAAACAGG